rnacentral:rRNA from 1 species
GAUGAACGCUGGCGGCGUGCCUAAUACAUGCAAGUCGAGCGAACAGACGAGGAUCUUGCUCCUCUGACGUUAGCGGCGGUCGGGUGAGUAAAACGGGGAUAACCUACCUGUUAGACUGCGAUAACUUCGGGAAACCGGAGCUAAUAUCGGAGCAAAUAUUGAACCGCAGGGUUCAAUAGUGAAAGACGGUUUUGCUGUCACUUAUAGAUGGAUCAGCGCCGCAUUAGCUAGUGGGUAAGGUAACGGCUUACCAAGGCAACGAUGCGUAUCCGACAUGAGAGGGUGAUCGGCCACACUGGAACUGAGACACAGUCCAGACUCCUACGCGAGGCAGCAGUAGGGAAUCUUACGCGAUGGGCGAGAGCCUGACGGAGCAACGCCGCGUGAGUGAUGAAGGUCUUCGGAUCGUAAAACGCUGUUAUUAGGGAGGAACAAAUGUGUAAGUAACUAUGCACGUCUUGACGGUACCUAAUCAGAAAGCCACGGCUAACUACGUG